UCCUACGGGAGGCAGCAGUGGGGAAUAUUGGACAAUGGACCACAAGUCUGAUCCAGCAAUUCUGUGUGCACGAUGACGUUUUUCGGAAUGUAAAGUGCUUUCAGUCGGGAAGAAGUCAGUGACGGUACCGACAGAAGAAGCGACGGCUAAAUACGUGCCAGCAGCCGCGGUAAUACGUAUGUCGCAAGCGUUAUCCGGAUUUAUUGGGCGUAAAGCGCGUCUAGGCGGCAAGGAAAGUCUGAUGUGAAAAUGCGGAGCUCAACUCCGUAUGGCGUUGGAAACUGCCUUACUAGAGUACUGGAGAGGUAGGCGGAACUACAAGUGUAGAGGUGAAAUUCGUAGAUAUUUGUAGGAAUGCCGAUGGGGAAGCCAGCCUACUGGACAGAUACUGACGCUAAAGCGCGAAAGCGUGGGUAGCAAACAGGAUUAGAUACCCUGGUAGAAG
rnacentral:rRNA from 1 species